AAUGAACGCUGGCGGCGUGGAUAAGACAUGCAAGUCGAACGAAGAAUGUGAUUAGUUUACUAGGAUCAUUCUUAGUGGCGGACGGGUUAGUAACGCGUGAGCAACUUGCCUCAAAGAGGGGGAUAGUCCUGGGAAACUGGGUUUAAUACCGCAUAAGCUCUACGGAGUAAAGGUGCCUUAUGGUAUCGCUUUGAGAUAGGCUCGCGUCCUAUCAGCUAGUUGGUGAGGUAAAGGCUCACCAAGGCGACGACGGGUAGCUGUUCUGAGAGGAAGAUCAGCAACACUGGAACUGAGACACGGUCCAGACACCUACGGGUGGCAGCAGUCGAGAAUCAUUCACAAUGGACGAAAGUCUGAUGGUGCAACGCCGCGUGGAGGAUGAAGGCCCUAGGGUCGUAAACUCCUGUCAUAAUAGAGUAAGGCAUAUGCGUUAAUAUCGUAUAUGUUUGAUAGUAUAUUAAGAGGAAGGGACGGCUAACUUCGUGCCAGCCGCCGCCGUAACAC
rnacentral:rRNA from 1 species